UAGAGUUUGAUCCUGGCUCAGAUUGAACGCUGGCGGCAUGCUUUACACAUGCAAGUCGAGCGGCAGCGCGGGGGCAACCCUGGCGGCGAGCGGCGAACGGGUGAGUAAUACAUCGGAACGUGUCCCGUAGUGGGGGAUAACCCGGCGAAAGCCGGACUAAUACCGCAUAUGCUCUACGGAGGAAAGUGGGGGACCCGCAAGGGCCUCAUGCUAUGGGAGCGGCCGAUGUCCGAUUAGCUUGUUGGUGAGGUAACGGCUUACCAAGGCGACGAUCGGUAGCUGGUCUGAGAGGAUGAUCAGCCACACUGGGACUGAGACACGGCCCAGACUCCUACGGGAGGCAGCAGUGGGGAAUUUUGGACAAUGGGGGCAACCCUGAUCCAGCCAUGCCGCGUGCGGGAAGAAGGCCUUCGGGUUGUAAACCGCUUUU
rnacentral:rRNA from 1 species